UCACGACAGAAUUACGGAACGAGUUUGGAGACACGAGACAAACACUACCCUAUCCUCUUCCUCUCCGAAAUUGUAGUAAAAAGUCGAUACAUAUCUGAAUGUAUAUGACUGUAAAUAUAUAGGAGGAGAAGUUCUAAUCCUACAAGGAAACCAAUUCCUAAAGUAAAUUACAAUUUAGGUGUAUGAUUUGUGAUUAAAAAUUAAAAUUAAUGAGAUAAAGUAUAAACCUUCGAAUUGAUUUGAAUUAAAUGAAAAUUAACCGUAUAUCUAAAUCAAGUUAAUCAAAACCCCCUCUCUCUCUCUCUCUCUCUCUCUCUCUCUCUCUCUCUCUCUCUCUUCUUCUUCUUCUUCUUCUUCUUCCUCUUCGCUCUUUGAUCGUUCCCGGUCAUCUGUUCGUCUACUCGACAAGAUGUCUUGUCUUGUCGACCCGACUCGCUCCGGGACCGUUCCCCAUCACGACCCGACCCAGGAGAUCCGGGACAAAACCCUAGUUUCCGUCGCCGGCAGGGUUAUUGAUCGCUGAGGAGCUUUCUUACAAUGUCCCUUCCAUUUGGGAAUGAGGUUUCUGAGCCUUCUUUGCUCGUAGGUUUGGUUGCGGUUCUGUGAAUCAUGUAUCAAAGUUUUGAUUUUUUUUUUUAAAAUUCCAUUCACUGAA